rnacentral:rRNA from 1 species
UACGAAGGGAGCUAGCGUUGUUCGGAAUCACUGGGCGUAAAGCGCACGUAGGCGGAUUUGUAAGUCAGGGGUGAAAUCCCGGGGCUCAACCUCGGAACUGCCUUUGAUACUGCAAAUCUCGAGUCCGGAAGAGGUGAGUGGAAUUCCUAGUGUAGAGGUGAAAUUCGUAGAUAUUAGGAAGAACACCAGUGGCGAAGGCGGCUCACUGGUCCGGUACUGACGCUGAGGUGCGAAAGCGUGGGGAGCAAACAGG